rnacentral:lncRNA from 1 species
GACAAACCUAUAAAUACUAUAUUUUUUGACUUAGUAUAAAAAGCAAUUACUUAAAAGAUUUUAAUUACUACUCUUCUCAUUUAUAGCUCAAAGCAUCAUUUUUAAUUUAAGUAGAAAUAGAAGGGGCAUAGUAAUUGAAACUAUAAACAUUUACUGUCUGGGUUUGGACAUAUUUGUACCUUCCUAAAAUGCUAUAUUUUCAGAGAUUACUUAUUUAUAAGAGAAAUAGUAAAAGGGAAAAAAAAAGUUUAUAUCCAGCCUUUGUAUUAUUCUUAUAACUUCAAAAGUACGAUUUUUUUUUUCAGAAGAUUUGUUAUGUAAAAGUUUAAAUUAUACAAACAUUUUAAAGUAUAUAUAUAUUAGGGACCAUAAAUAAAUGUCAUAUAUAAAAUUAGAAAUCACCUACAGUAUUACAGAGAUAUUCAUUAAAUAUAUGAAUAUAUAUACAUAUAUAUGUGUAUAUGUAUAAUUUACUUAUUAGUUAAAGGUUUGUACAACAUCUGUUCGGCUAAAUCUUGGCAUACAACCAUUUCUUUUUCCUUUAACUAAAGUUGCUAUAAUUUUAAUUUUUAGAACAAAGGAAAAACAGUUGAGAAAUUGAUAUGAAAUAGAAUUAUUUUUUUUAAUGAUGUCAUAUGCAAGUAAUUAGUAUUUUGUUCAGAGAAUUUGGCUGUGGAGUUAUAAAGAGGACUUGAUUUUUGAGUAACAGCUCUUGAUCGUCAUUUUCUUUUUAAGUGUAAAUAACCAAGAAAGUCUCUUAGUAUCAAACAAGACUGUAACUUUAAAGUGUGUUAUAUGCAUAGUGAUCUAAGCAGCUUCUAUAUAAAAGCAAAAAUGAUCUAUGCAAUGUUUGUGAAAUUCAUUUACUCAACAGCUAUUAUGUUCAUUUUUUUUAAACUAAGAGGAUGCAUGUAAAAAUCACUACCGUUAUAUUUAAUUCACUUAUUCAAAUUUAUAAUGGUUUUUAAAUGGGAAGGUUUUUAGAUUCACAUUAAUUCAAGAGUCUUAAACAUACUCCACUAUCUUGUUAUCAUAUGAAACCACUGCUUUUAAUGGAAGCUAUGAAGUCUUUGCCUGUUAUUUAAUUAGAUAAUAUAGUUUAAUUUUAGCAGCUUAUGUUCUUCAUAUAGUUACAAGUAUUAGCAGGCAUGUCGUUUGCUUUUUUUCUUAUGGGGAUAGGUGGCAUUUUAAGAAUAUUCACUUAGGGGCUAGGGAGAUGGCUCAGGUUAAGAUCACUGGCUGCUCUUCCAGAGGUCCUGAGUUUAAUUCCCAGCAAUCAUAUGGUGACCCACAGCUACCUGUAAUGGGAUCUGAUCCCCUCUUCUGGUGUCUCUGAAGACAGUGACGGUGUGCACACUCACAUACAUAAAACAAAUAGUCAAAUCUUUAAAAAAAAGAAAAUUCACUUAUUUUCUUCAGCUUUUUGAAAUUAUGAUCUCUGGACUUAAUAAGAUUGCAAAAUAUAAUUAAUACCAGAAUAUUGGUAUCUAUAGACAAGUGAUAAAAUAUUUCUGUUUUCAAGACAUGAAUAGUUAUAAAUUUAUACUAUGGUUAGUAGGCAUUCUGCUUUGGUAAUAGAGUUACCAUAAUAGAAUUUUAUUGUUCUAUGGUUUCAGGUUAUUAGGAAUCACCCUUUUUGUACAUGUUUGUGUUUUCUUUUAAGGAAAAAAAACAAGGUUUCCAUAAUUGAUUCAACUUCAUUUCUUGGUAUUCCUGCCUCUUCCCUUUUGCUCUUACCUAUUUCUUAUAAGCAAUAUCAAACCAUCUGUUGCUUACCAGGCAAGUUCCAAGAUGUUUUUGUGCACAUAUGCAUCCACCUGUUCUUUGCACCUCCUUAGUUUACUUUGUUUUCUAGAUUUGAGGUUAUCUUGCAAGUAAUAACGUUUUUCCUUUGCUUUUUCACUCUAUUCUUUGCUAUUGUACUUACAGCUAUUCACAGCUUCAUUCUUGCUAUGCAGGACUUUUAGAAAAUUAGUCAUCAUAAUUAGUUUUCUUUCCUAUGUAUUGCACCACAUAAGGCCUAAGGUUUACUUAUUUAUUUUUAGUCUGUGGGUUGUAAAACCUUUCUUUUAAAAUGUGUCAAUUUGUUUUAGUGUAAGUAGUUGACAACAGGAAUCAUUAGUUUCAUUAAGAUGACUAUAUGAGGUCUUGAAGUGCAAGCCCAUAAUUCACAGGAAGGCAGAGACAGGAGGAUCACGAGUCCAAGAUAGUUGGUGCUGUGAUCUGAUACCCAGUCCUCCAGCAGAGAUGAGUUCAAAUGACUCAGGUCACAUUAUUCAGUAAAUGAAAACGAUUUCUGAUACAGCAUAGGUUUCAGGAGCCCUUAUGUCUAGAGUACAUUAAAAAUUAGGUUUUUCUUAUAUCAAUAUUAAAACUGCUACAAUUACACAUUUGACAAUUUAUGAAAAUACUAAUCUUUAGUUUCAAAUAACAGAAUUUAGCAAAUUAACAUCUUUUCACAUACCAGCCACCUAUGAUGAUAGAGAAAAGGCAUAACAACUGUAUAAAAGAAUUAGAACUCUGAAUUUUUUCUCUCUGUUCAAACAUAAGACCUUGUUAUGCUUACUUUUACACAUCAAUCCAGAGAGACAGGAAAACCUUUCUCUUACUCUCUAUGAUUGAAUGAGGCCUACGGCACUUAUGAGAUUUAGAAAACAAAAUAUGCUUAGCUACCAGAAUUUAAAACUAAAAUCUUACUAUUUAGUAUAAAAACUAAGAGCUUGAAUAUGAUUUUUUAUUUAUUAAUGGGACUCUAAAACAGUUCAUGUGUAACUAUUAAAUUUAAUAAUAAUAAAGUUGCCUUAAAACUCAAUGAAGAAAAAUCCUUAAUGAGUAAAAUAAGUCUAAGAAAAUUAUUUUUAUACUAUUUUGUUCUAAGAGUUCUCUAGUUUACUAUGAGUUUAUUUGCCUCCCCCAUCAUAAGUAUUUACUUAAAUAUUACUGAAAACACACAAGAAAAAUACUACCAAGUAUAGAGCAGUAUGUGUUUUAACUUCUCUGUGCUUAUCACUGUUUUACC